rnacentral:rRNA from 1 species
UACGUAGGGACCAAGCGUUGUUCGGAUUUACUGGGCGUAAAGGGUGCGUAGGUGGGCAAGUAAGUCAGUGGUGAAAUCUCCGGGCUUAACCCGGAAACUGCCAUUGAUACUAUUUGUCUUGAAUACUGUGGAGGUCAGCGGAAUAUGUCAUGUAGCGGUGAAAUGCUUAGAUAUGACAUAGAACACCAAUUGCGAAGGCAGCUGGCUACACAAAUAUUGACACUGAGGCACGAAAGCGUGGGGAUCAAACAGG